ensembl:lncRNA
AUUUAUGAUGUAAGAGACACAAAUGGCAUAUUUUUGAAAGGCUUUUACCCAGACCAGUGCAGAAUGCCCUGCUGUGAAGACUUUAAGAACUAUGAGGAGGGAAACCUUUAAGGACAGAGAUACAUAGAAUGAAGUCACCCAAAGCCCUCAAAGGCCAUUCAACUAGCAAAACGUGAUGCAAAAUGUCUCCAACUCUACAAUCUCUUCAUUUGAAUAAUUCCAGCAUAUUUAACUACACCCAUGGAACGUCUAAUAAUCAAAGUGAAUGCUCAUCUGGUCAUUGAUUUAUGCCUUCAGGAUAGCUGAACUUGGAGGGACAUCUCAGUGGACCUGCAACCUAGCAAACCUUUGACUCCUUGACACACCAGGGUUCUGCUUAACAUCUAGUAGAAAUGAGUAAUGCUUACCUAUUUCCAUAAUUAAUCGAUAUGGCUGCUGUAAAAUAUAUGCGCUCUCUCAUUUGAGUUCAUUUUCGAAAUUCUAAAUUGAGAGAACAUGUGCUUUAUUUGUCGACCAUGAGCUUUUACUAAAACAGCAGCUUGACUAAUUAUUCCCAGCAAUGUAUGAGUUGAAAGGCCUCUGUUUUCAGUCAGUUCUUGUAAACUGAUGAACUGCGACCUCAAUAAUUGUUCUACAUUGUGACUCUUGACCUCAAAGUUGCAAUAAGGUAACAAAGAGAGUGUACAUGGGUUAGAAAAUAGCUUAAUUUUAUGCACACAAUCGCUCAGAAAUGUAAACAAGACUAAUAUGUGGAAAUGUAUCUUUUGAACUAAUACUGAAUAUGGAUGAAACUAACUAUAAUCAAUUAUAAAUAUGAUUUUUUAGACACUGGAUUCUCAGAAUGGUUGUUUUUUAGACAGUUGGUGGAUUCUUUUUCCACUUCUUUUUUAAAGAGAUAGCUCAACCAAAAAUAGGCAUUCUGUUAUUAUUUAUGGCUGUCACUGAAAAAAAAGAGUAGUUCUUAUGUCUUGAGCACCAUAGUUUGUAUAAAAUUUAGGAUUGUUAUUCACAGAAAAUCUUGCCCUGCAGUACUUAAAUCUCAUUCUCCAUCCUGCAUAUUUGAACUGGCAUAUUAAGUUCAUUUAAGACAAGAACUAGUGUUGUUUUU